GGAGGAACACAAAACCUGCAAGGUUUUUUUUUUUUUCUUUUGCACGUAAUUAAAAAAAUUUUUUUUUUUUUCAAACCCGAGGGGUCCCGCCCGGAGCGGGCGCCUGUCCGGGGCGCCCGGUCCUCGGCGCGGGGCGGCGGCAGGGGCCUGGCGGAGGCUGCCGGGCGGCCGCCAUGCGAUCAGGCAGUGCGCUGACCGGCCCGGCCGUUCGGCCCCUUCUGGGUCCUCCCUUUGCAGCCCGUGCGGGGCCGUCUCGGAGAUCCCGCGUCGACGGCUGCUCAAACAUCAGGCUGGCCCCCAAAAGGACCCUCCCCACAUCCCCAGCUGGGGGCCCUGCGUAGAGCUGGAGUGGACGCCCCCUCCUUCCCUUCAUGAUUCGUUUGUAGCGCAGUGGCGAUGGAUGAUGAGGAUGGGAGAUGCUUACUAGACGUGAUUUGUGACCCUCAGGCCCUCAAUGACUUCUUACAUGGAUCUGAGAAGAUGGACUGAACUGAAACC